GUAUCAGUCUCUCCACUUUCUUACAUUCAAUUCUGUUGUCAAAUGUUAAGACUGUUUCCUCUCAUUCAGUGGAAAUUUCCUUCAGCUUAUUUUUCCUGGAAAUGGAAAACAGCUGCGCAGAGCCUUCAUUCAACCCUCUACUCAAAGGCUCUUAUUUGCAUCAUCAACUAUUUGCUUUUCUCUAUCCCAAUCUAUCAAUAAACUAAGUUCACAUCUCUUCUUCAGAGCAUUUUUCUCCCUCAGUGUGGAUGCCCCAUCCUCAUAAAAGCAUGACACUUAGUCAUUGUUUAUACUGUCAUUCCUACCUAGAAACGUCUUUCCCUCUUAAUUUUUUUGGAAAAAUGUACCCCAUCUUCCUUCAAGACUUAGCCAGGGAGAGAGCUCUGGAGCACAUUUGGGAAGGCAUGAAAUGGGGAAGCCCCCAGGAAGGAAGGUAGACAAAUCCUCAGGGGACACAGCCUGGUUUUCUCCUCUGUGUAGACUCCUAAUGUGCCAUUCCCAAGAUGCUCCUCAAUAUUGACGAGUGGGGUUUUCUGGAACUGUACAUUCCUAAGAGCCAGUUGACUUCUAGAGUGAAAUACAGAAUGUGGGAAUCUCCAGAGAAAGAAAGCCCAAGGCAAAAGAGUAAGUAACUCUUAGAGUCUCAGACAUGGAAAGAUAACUGGUAACACUUGGCUGCUGGAGAAUGAAACCCCUCCUAAAGGCAGAUAUUCAGGCCUGUGAUAGAAUCAUUGAAUUUCAUCUACCUAGUUCCCAUCAGGCCUGGGGAAAUGGGGAUAAGCUGCAGAGUCUACAUGGUCUUACAGAAGCUGAAGCAAGUUGCAGAGAAAUUUCAAGGACUUUUAAGUCCAGUAUACCUUGGAUUUGGGGCACUACUCCAGCACAAAUUCCUCCCUGCUUCAUGCAGAUUUUCAUUGCCGAUGGCCCCACUUCCAGAACCAGAAAUUCCAACAUUCCUAUGGCGGUCUUACUUUCCGUUGCCCCAGGAAGCAGAAAUGGGGACAAGACUGCAAGACUGACCAUGAGACCAUGGCCUGGACUGAGGGGCUCAGCUACUUUCUUAAGUACCUUCAGACCAGAGAUAACAGCUGUUUGGAACAUAUAAAUGAGACCUUGUCUCUGGAACAAUCAUCUGGCUUUGGUUAUUCAUUAUCAUUGAACCCCACAUGCCUCACUUAGAAAGAUGUCCCUUCCAAAGCUCAGAGGCCCUCACCAUCGCAUGCAUGCUCCUCUCCUAGUACACUUCUGGAGUGGCCUGAAGAGCUGGAGAAGUGGGCACUCAGCUCACAUCUCAACCCAGAUCUCCACAGAUCACAUCCUUGUUUCUGUCACAUCAGUAGUCAGUAGUGCCCCCAUCUCAUUUAUAUCCAAAUUAAGAACAUCUUAAUAUGAGAUUUCAUCCUUUCCAGAUUGACCCAUCUGGAUUUGGAUAUCUCAGUAACAAGAUACUUUGUCCUUUUUCAUCAUUACUUAGCUCCUCAGUUUGCAAUAUUUGUGUGUCCCUAUUAUUCUUGUCCAGUUAUACAAGCCUUGAGGUAAUGCACUGUCUUUUAUUAGUUUUUCAGACUCCACACAGAGAUUGACACAGCACUGGCAGAACACAUAGAUACCAUUGCUUAA
rnacentral:lncRNA from 1 species